rnacentral:rRNA from 1 species
GGGUUGUGAGGUUAAGCGACUAAGCGUACACGGUGGAUGCCCUGGCAGUCAGAGGCGAUGAAGGACGUGCUAAUCUGCGAUAAGCGUCGGUAAGGUGAUAUGAACCGUUAUAACCGGCGAUUUCCGAAUGGGGAAACCCAGUGUGUUUCGACACACUAUCAUUAACUGAAUCCAUAGGUUAAUGAGGCGAACCGGGGGAACUGAAACAUCUAAGUACCCCGAGGAAAAGAAAUCAACCGAGAUUCCCCCAGUAGCGGCGAGCGAACGGGGAGCAGCCCAGAGCCUGAAUCAGUGUGUGUGUUAGUGGAAGCGUCUGGAAAGGCGCGCGAUACAGGGUGACAGCCCCGUACACAAAAAUGCACAUGCUGUGAGCUCGAUGAGUAGGGCGGGACACGUGGUAUCCUGUCUGAAUAUGGGGGGACCAUCCUCCAAGGCUAAAUACUCCUGACUGACCGAUAGUGAACCAGUACCGUGAGGGAAAGGCGAAAAGAACCCCGGCGAGGGGAGUGAAAAAGAACCUGAAACCGUGUACGUACAAGCAGUGGGAGCACGCUUAGGCGUGUGACUGCGUACCUUUUGUAUAAUGGGUCAGCGACUUAUAUUCUGUAGCAAGGUUAACCGAAUAGGGGAGCCGAAGGGAAACCGAGUCUUAACUGGGCGUUAAGUUGCAGGGUAUAGACCCGAAACCCGGUGAUCUAGCCAUGGGCAGGUUGAAGGUUGGGUAACACUAACUGGAGGACCGAACCGACUAAUGUUGAAAAAUUAGCGGAUGACUUGUGGCUGGGGGUGAAAGGCCAAUCAAACCGGGAGAUAGCUGGUUCUCCCCGAAAGCUAUUUAGGUAGCGCCUCGUGAAUUCAUCUCCGGGGGUAGAGCACUGUUUCGGCAAGGGGGUCAUCCCGACUUACCAACCCGAUGCAAACUGCGAAUACCGGAGAAUGUUAUCACGGGAGACACACGGCGGGUGCUAACGUCCGUCGUGAAGAGGGAAACAACCCAGACCGCCAGCUAAGGUCCCAAAGUCAUGGUUAAGUGGGAAACGAUGUGGGAAGGCCCAGACAGCCAGGAUGUUGGCUUAGAAGCAGCCAUCAUUUAAAGAAAGCGUAAUAGCUCACUGGUCGAGUCGGCCUGCGCGGAAGAUGUAACGGGGCUAAACCAUGCACCGAAGCUGCGGCAGCGACGCUGAUGCGUUGUUGGGUAGGGGAGCGUUCUGUAAGCCUGCGAAGGUGUGCUGUGAGGUAUGCUGGAGGUAUCAGAAGUGCGAAUGCUGACAUAAGUAACGAUAAAGCGGGUGAAAAGCCCGCUCGCCGGAAGACCAAGGGUUCCUGUCCAACGUUAAUCGGGGCAGGGUGAGUCGACCCCUAAGGCGAGGCCGAAAGGCGUAGUCGAUGGGAAACAGGUUAAUAUUCCUGUACUUGGUGUUACUGCGAAGGGGGGACGGAGAAGGCUAUGUUGGCCGGGCGACGGUUGUCCCGGUUUAAGCGUGUAGGCUGGUUUUCCAGGCAAAUCCGGAAAAUCAAGGCUGAGGCGUGAUGACGAGGCACUACGGUGCUGAAGCAACAAAUGCCCUGCUUCCAGGAAAAGCCUCUAAGCAUCAGGUAACAUCAAAUCGUACCCCAAACCGACACAGGUGGUCAGGUAGAGAAUACCAAGGCGCUUGAGAGAACUCGGGUGAAGGAACUAGGCAAAAUGGUGCCGUAACUUCGGGAGAAGGCACGCUGAUAUGUAGGUGAAGUCCCUCGCGGAUGGAGCUGAAAUCAGUCGAAGAUACCAGCUGGCUGCAACUGUUUAUUAAAAACACAGCACUGUGCAAACACGAAAGUGGACGUAUACGGUGUGACGCCUGCCCGGUGCCGGAAGGUUAAUUGAUGGGGUUAGCCGCAAGGCGAAGCUCUUGAUCGAAGCCCCGGUAAACGGCGGCCGUAACUAUAACGGUCCUAAGGUAGCGAAAUUCCUUGUCGGGUAAGUUCCGACCUGCACGAAUGGCGUAAUGAUGGCCAGGCUGUCUCCACCCGAGACUCAGUGAAAUUGAACUCGCUGUGAAGAUGCAGUGUACCCGCGGCAAGACGGAAAGACCCCGUGAACCUUUACUAUAGCUUGACACUGAACAUUGAGCCUUGAUGUGUAGGAUAGGUGGGAGGCUUUGAAGUGUGGACGCCAGUCUGCAUGGAGCCGACCUUGAAAUACCACCCUUUAAUGUUUGAUGUUCUAACGUUGACCCGUAAUCCGGGUUGCGGACAGUGUCUGGUGGGUAGUUUGACUGGGGCGGUCUCCUCCUAAAGAGUAACGGAGGAGCACGAAGGUUGGCUAAUCCUGGUCGGACAUCAGGAGGUUAGUGCAAUGGCAUAAGCCAGCUUGACUGCGAGCGUGACGGCGCGAGCAGGUGCGAAAGCAGGUCAUAGUGAUCCGGUGGUUCUGAAUGGAAGGGCCAUCGCUCAACGGAUAAAAGGUACUCCGGGGAUAACAGGCUGAUACCGCCCAAGAGUUCAUAUCGACGGCGGUGUUUGGCACCUCGAUGUCGGCUCAUCACAUCCUGGGGCUGAAGUAGGUCCCAAGGGUAUGGCUGUUCGCCAUUUAAAGUGGUACGCGAGCUGGGUUUAGAACGUCGUGAGACAGUUCGGUCCCUAUCUGCCGUGGGCGCUGGAGAACUGAGGGGGGCUGCUCCUAGUACGAGAGGACCGGAGUGGACGCAUCACUGGUGUUCGGGUUGUCAUGCCAAUGGCACUGCCCGGUAGCUAAAUGCGGAAGAGAUAAGUGCUGAAAGCAUCUAAGCACGAAACUUGCCCCGAGAUGAGUUCUCCCUGACUCCUUGAGAGUCCUGAAGGAACGUUGAAGACGACGACGUUGAUAGGCCGGGUGUGUAAGCGCAGCGAUGCGUUGAGCUAACCGGUACUAAUGAACCGUGAGGCUUAACCUUACAACGCCGAAGCUGUU